rnacentral:tRNA from 1 species
GUUUAAAUAGUUUAAUUAAAAUGCUAGUUUGUGGAGCUAGAGAUAUAAGUUAUUAUUUUAGACU